GGGUGAAUUAUGAUUCAAACCGACCAAGCUAUUCAAGAGACGUCAAGCCAGCCUUCAUUCCUAAGAGUGAGCCUAAAAUAAUGCCGACUAUCCAAGAGCGAGACAAGACCAAGCCCGAUAGUGCACCACUACUAGAACCCGUGAUCUUUGAUGCUUCAAGUCCCAUGGACGUGGGCACUAUGCUAAUGAAUAUACCAACAAGAGAGUUAUGGUCAUAAGGGCGAAUGGUGAGUUUGAGUCCGAAGACGAGUUCGUGCUAAAACCUGAUUCGUCGUCCGAAGAGUGUAUUGCUAAGCUGGCUAAUGAGAAGCUUUUGAUGUCGAGGAAAGUUUCUAAGGAUUCGGAAGAGGAGCAAGACGUGACUUCAUCCCCGGAUGAGUAUGAAGAAAAGUUCGGAGAACUUUACGUGGCAAGGAGAACUUUAAGCCUUCAAACCCGAACCGAAGAAGAAGAGCAAAGAGAGAACCUAUUUCAUACGCGGUGCAUCGUCAAUGAGAAAGUUUGUAGCUUGAUCAUUGAUGGAGGAAGCUGUACAAAUGUGGCGAGUGAAACAAUGGUUCGAAAGCUCGAUUUGAAGCCGCAAAAGCAUCCUAAGCCGUACAAGUUACAAUGGCUUAUCGAUGAUGGAGAAAUGAGUGUCAAGAAUCAAGUGGUUGUACCCUUAGCAAUUGGAAGCUACCAUGAUCAAAUUCUUUGUGAUGUGUUGCCAAUGGACGUCAAACAUAUCCUUUUAGGCCGACCAUGGUAAUCGGAUCGGAGAGUGACCCAUGAUGGUUUCACAAAUCGGUACUCCUUCAUGUUCAAAGGCAAGAAAACGACCCUCAUUCCAUUGACACCACAAGAGGUAUAUGAGGAUCAAAUUCAACUCUCGGCCAAGGAAACCAAAGUCCGUAAGCAACCCAAUUUCUUUAUUAAGGCUAACAAGGUUAAGCAAGCUAUGCACUAUAAACGACCCAUCUUAUUGUUUAUUUUUAAAGAAGCACUAACGUCUUUGACUAACCUUGCACCGGCCGAUCCGAGUGAGUUGACUUCUCUUUUACAGGAUUAUAAAGAUGUGUUUCCCGAAGUCAGCCCCAACGGCUUACCACCUAUCCGGAGAAUCGAACAUCAAAUAGACUUUGUCCCGGGAUCAACACUUCCCAACCGUCCUGCUUAUCGUACCAAUCUGGUGGAAACCAAGGAGUUGCAACGACCAGUCGACGAACUCAUGGCUAAAGGGCAUAUCCGAGAGAGCAUGAGUCCAUGUGCCGUUCCGGUUCUACUUGUUCCAAAGAAAGAUGGGAGUUGGUGUAUGUGCGUUGAUUGUCGUGCAAUCAAUAAUAUUACGGUGAAGUAUCGCCACCCUAUUCCUAGACUUGAUGAUAUGCUUGAUGAGUUGCAUGGUUCAUGCAUUUUCUCUAAAAU
rnacentral:sRNA from 1 species